AAUAAAGUUGAUUAAGUCGAGUUACAGUACGUCGCAGGUCCGGAUAAAGAGAGCAAAAAAAAUAAGUCGUUUUUUAUGUCUUGGCACUAUGUUGUUCAACAUAUUUGGACACCAGUAAAAUACCAUAUUUUGCCAGUGGGACGGUGGAGGACAGUGGAGGAAGAGGGCCGGAAUGGUGGGCAGGACGAGAGGAUGAAGAGGAUGGACACGACGGGGAGACAGGGGAAGGCGGCAUCUGUGACUGCGUCCUCGUCCCAGCUCAGCAGCCCCACUUCUGCGUCCGGGGAACAGCUUCAGGGCUCCAUCUUCAUUCCUGGAUCACUAGUCUGGGCUCAGCAGUCUGGACACCCCUGGUGGCCAGCAGUGGUCGAGCGAGAUCCUGACACUAAUGAUUUUGUGAUGUUCAGGAAGGAGUCAGGAAGCUGUCCCGUGAGAACAAUCGCUAACGCACACAUAGUGUAG
rnacentral:lncRNA from 1 species